UACGAAGGGGGCUAGCGUUGCUCGGAAUCACUGGGCGUAAAGGGUGCGUAGGCGGGUUUUUAAGUCAGGGGUGAAAUCCUGGGGCUCAACUCCAGAACUGCCUUUGAUACUGAAGAUCUUGAGUUCGGGAGAGGUGAGUGGAACUGCGAGUGUAGAGGUGAAAUUCGUAGAUAUUCGCAAGAACACCAGUGGCGAAGGCGGCUCACUGGCCCGAUACUGACGCUGAGGCACGAAAGCGUGGGGAGCAAACAGG
rnacentral:rRNA from 1 species